rnacentral:rRNA from 1 species
GACGAACGCUGGCGGCGUGCCUAAUACAUGCAAGUUGAGCGCUGAAGGUUGGUACUUGUACCAACUGGAUGAGCAGCGAACGGGUGAGUAACGCGUGGGGAAUCUGCCUUUGAGCGGGGGACAACAUUUGGAAACGAAUGCUAAUACCGCAUAAAAACUUUAAACACAAGUUUUAAGUUUGAAAGAUGAAAUUGCAUCACUCAAAGAUGAUCCCGCGUUGUAUUAGCUAGUUGGUGGGGUAAAGGCUAACCAAGGCGAUGAUACAUAGCCGACCUGAGAGGGUGAUCGGCCACAUUGGGACUGGGACACGGCCCAAACCCCUGCGGGAGGCAGCAGUAGGGAAUCUUCGGCAAUGGACGAAAGUCUGAACGAGCAACGCCGCGUGAGGGAAGAAGGAUUUCGGAUCGUAAAACUCUGUUGGUAGAGAAGAACGUUGGUGAGAGUGGAAAGCUCAUCAAGUGACGGUAACUACCCAGAAAGGGACGGCUAACUACGUG